rnacentral:rRNA from 1 species
UGCAGUCGAGCGGACAGAAGGGAGCUUGCUCCCGGAUGUUAGCGGCGGACGGGUGAGUAACACGUGGGUAACCUGCCUGUAAGACUGGGAUAACUCCGGGAAACCGGAGCUAAUACCGGAUAGUUCCUUGAACCGCAUGGUUCAAGGAUGAAAGACGGUUUCGGCUGUCACUUACAGAUGGACCCGCGGCGCAUUAGCUAGUUGGUGGGGUAAUGGCUCACCAAGGCGACGAUGCGUAGCCGACCUGAGAGGGUGAUCGGCCACACUGGGACUGAGACACGGCCCAGACUCCUACGGGAGGCAGCAGUAGGGAAUCUUCCGCAAUGGACGAAAGUCUGACGGAGCAACGCCGCGUGAGUGAUGAAGGUUUUCGGAUCGUAAAGCUCUGUUGUUAGGGAAGAACAAGUGCGAGAGUAACUGCUCGCACCUUGACGGUACCUAACCAGAAAGCCACGGCUAACUACGUGCCAGCAGCCGCGGUAAUACGUAGGUGGCAAGCGUUGUCCGGAAUUAUUGGGCGUAAAGGGCUCGCAGGCGGUUUCUUAAGUCUGAUGUGAAAGCCCCCGGCUCAACCGGGGAGGGUCAUUGGAAACUGGGAAACUUGAGUGCAGAAGAGGAGAGUGGAAUUCCACGUGUAGCGGUGAAAUGCGUAAGAUGUGGAGGAACACCAGUGGCGAA